AAACAAAACAAACUUUUUGAAUGGAGUUUCUCUGUCAAUAUGGAUUGAAACUAGCACUUGUUUUAUCUUGCAGGAACAUAUGUGAUGUGGUCCAAAGUCUGAGGAUUAUGAAUUCACAUUGAUUCAAGCUGUUGUCUCGUCCUCUUGUCUUUUCAAAGUGCUUCCAGUUGAAUUGGGAAAUAGUUAGCAUAGUCCAGACUCACCCAACAGCUCCAUUGGGGACAAGGGAGGCUCACAGAUGGCUGCAGUGGGGCUUCAGAACAGGAUGGCCUGGGAGUGUCCCAGCCCAGUCAGGACAGAAUGCUGUGUGUCCCCGAUGGCUUGCUCUCUUUCCUGGGGACAGGCCCCUCACGUGGUGUUGGCCUCCCAGGACUUGCAGGAGAUGUCUUCCUGGGCAGACAGUGGUUGUAUCUCCAGGUCUGUCUGUUUCCUCUGUACUCCAAGGUGGAUGUCAGGGCCUGAGCUAGGGAGAAUUACACCCCCCUGAAGGAGGCUACACCCACUUGGGGGGCGGGGGAGGUGGCCUGGGAAGAGGGGUGUGGUGACUGCAGGAAAGUGGAGUGUAAGGAGAGGUCCCCAGGUGAUAACCUGCGGGUGACCCCACAUAUGAAUAACAGAACCCUUGGCCCCCACAUCAAGGUCGCUAUGUGUGU